UUUCUACGCUAGCCAACCUUUUCUACUUUCUACGCUAGCCUACCUUUUUCUAAUCUACUUCCUACGCUAGCCUAUCUUUUUCUUAUAAUUCUUUUCAGUCGAGAACUACCAACUCUUUUUACACAUUAAAUUACUCCUCUUCUAUCUUUUUCGUUUCCGUUUCAUUGCACUCCUCAAACUUAAAUAUUAUUCCGAUACUUUGUCUUUACACGCUAAAUCUUACUGCUACUAGAUACGAAAUUUACCCUUAUUUACGGCUUCCUUUGCAAAUAUACGAACUAUUCACAACCUAUAAGUUAGGGACAAAUAGUUCCUAUUAACCACACCGGAUAUCCCUAAUUAGGGAUAACUCCCCAAGAUUACACCGGCGGACAACUAGCCGAACAGGCAGUAACGUGGAAGUCAUGCUAAUAAUUAACUACGAGACUUCAGAUUCAACCAACCUCUCUUCUUAAACUACCUCACAAUGGAUUUAAUGAACUUUGAAACCAACUAAAAUGGUCGAUAAAAUAUGUACCAGUAGAGUACAGUCCCUCCUUGAAAUUGCUAGCCUUGUGUCAAAAUUUGAAACCCAUGUAAAUAUCAGAUUUCACAACCAUGGACGCCACCCUUACGGACGCAUUGCAGUUACUCUCUUGAUAGAGAUGAUGUACGCAAUCAGAGUAUGAAGAUAUGCCUAAUGCAGAGAAGUUAAAAUACGACCAAACAUCAAUGAAACAAAAAGAACUACUGAUUGAUCACUAAUAUCAUUUGUUCAGCAAUCAGCUAGGGGUGAUAAUACUGGAUGUUUCACCUGUAUUUGUGACCAUCAAUGGAAAUAUAAUUUCCCGGUAAUUUAUGUAGAAUUAGUGAUGAAAUUUAUAUGUAAAUAUACAAAACUGUGUAGUUGUGGAUACAGAGUCAGAGAGGCAUUUUAAGAUGAAUGUGGAAGUCGUAUUCUUAGAGCUUUGAGUUGCUGAAACCAAUUGGAAUCCAUAGGGAUUUAGAUAUAUGUUAAAAUACUGAUAAGCCUGUAUGAAAUAAACACCACUCCCAGCAAAUGUGCAUGUUUCUCUCUGGUAUGUGUGUGUGUGUGUGUGUGUGUGUGUGUGUGUGUGUGUGUGUGUGUGUGUGUGUGU